rnacentral:rRNA from 1 species
UGGCUCAGGACGAACGCUGGCGGCGUGCUUAACACAUGCAAGUCGAGCGGAAAGGCCCUUCGGGGUACUCGAGCGGCGAACGGGUGAGUAACACGUGAGUAACCUGCCCCAGGCUUUGGGAUAACCCUCGGAAACGGGGGCUAAUACCGGAUAUUCAUGCGGUGUGGCAUCACAUUGUGUGGAAAGUUUUUCGGCGUGGGAUGGGCUCGCGGCCUAUCAGCUUGUUGGUGGGGUGAUGGCCUACCAAGGCGACGACGGGUAGCCGGCCUGAGAGGGCGACCGGCCACACUGGGACUGAGACACGGCCCAGACUCCUACGGGAGGCAGCAGUGGGGAAUAUUGCACAAUGGGCGGAAGCCUGAUGCAGCGACGCCGCGUGAGGGAUGAAGGCCUUCGGGUUGUAAACCUCUUUCGACAGGGACGAAGCGUGAGUGACGGUACCUGGAGAAGAAGCGCCGGCCAACUACGUGCCAGCAGCCGCGGUAAGACGUAGGGCGCGAGCGUUGUCCGGAUUUAUUGGGCGUAAAGAGCUCGUAGGCGGCUUGUUGCGUCAGCUGUGAAAACCCGCAGCUCAACUGUG